rnacentral:tRNA from 1 species
AGUCCGUAGCGUCUACCGAUUUCGA